rnacentral:rRNA from 1 species
CGGGGAUCCUCUUCGGAGGCGUGCACACAGGUGCUGCAUGGCUGUCGUCAGCUCGUGUCGUGAGAUGUUGGGUUAAGUCCCGCAACGAGCGCAACCCACGUCCUUAGUUGCCAUCAUUCAGUUGGGCACUCUAGGGAGACUGCCGGUGAUAAGCCGCGAGGAAGGUGUGGAUGCAGUCAAGUCCUCAUGGCCCUUACGGGAUGGGCUACACACGUGCUACAAUGGCGGUGACAGUGGGACGCGAAACCGCGAGGUUGAGCAAAUCCCCAAAAGCCGUCUCAGUUCGGAUUGCACUCUGCAACUCGGGUGCAUGAAGGCGG